rnacentral:rRNA from 1 species
GACGUAGGGCGCGAGCGUUGUCCGGAUUUACUGGGCGUAAAGCGCACGUAGGCGGGUCGUUAAGUCAGGGGUGAAAUCCCGGAGCUCAACUCCGGAACUGCCUUUGAUACUGGCGACCUUGAGGCUGGAAGAGGUUAGUGGAACUGCGAGUGUAGAGGUGAAAUUCGUAGAUAUUCGCAAGAACACCAGUGGCGAAGGCGGCUCACUGGCCCGGUACUGACGCUGAGGUGCGAAAGCGUGGGGAGCAAACAGG